AGUACAGAGCUGAGCUCCCUGUGUGCAGGCUUCUGUUGAAGAAAAACCCCUGUGUUAUACUUAAAUUAUGAUAUGCUGUGAUGACAUGUUAUAUUCAAGUAGUUAUUCAUGAACACCGUUAUAGCCAAGAGCAAGGAACCCUGUACAGCUGCUGAGCCUCAAAGGGGUGAGCUCUUUGCACGGCUCCAGGAGACCUCUGGCUGCAAGAUUCCCAGAAGACGUGUGAGGUGUGAGGUCCAGUUCUGGUGUAUCAUCCUUGCCUGCAGCCUCUCCUGACGGGAUGGAACCUGGGCCCUCUGCGUUGAGAGUGCAGAGUCUUAGCCACUGGACAACCAGGGAUUAUGUAUAGUGUGUAUUCUUACUGAUUCAUUCGAUAACCAUUUGUGGAAAAUCUACCCCUUACCAGGCACACUGCCAAACACUGGGUUACAAUU